rnacentral:lncRNA from 1 species
CUGAGUCUGUGCCUACCCGACCCAGAGGAGCCCAGCAUGGCCCACGCUCUGCUCCUCGCAGCGUCUGCCCUGUUCUGCCUCGUGCUGGGAGGCAGCAAUCUGCGUUGCAGACAAUGUGCCCUGAACGAGCCCUACAUCGGUUGCCUCCCCGGAGUCUCUGAGUGCACCCCUAAGGCCGGGCAUCCAUGCAUGACUGUCAACAUCGGCUAUAGAGGUGAGGUGCAGUUCCUCCUCCAGGGCUGCAUCAUGAAUCCCAGCCGCUGCGGGAUGGUGAAGGAGUUGAUGGUUCCCGAGUACCACAUCAACAUCACCUGCUGCUCCCACGCCUCCUUCUGCAACGAGUGGGUCCCGCUGCCCCCUGGCAAGGGAGGGCACUGAGUCUGGCCUGCCGCCUGCCGCCUACCACCCUCUUCCAUCCCUGUCUGUCCUCCGUCCCGGUCCCCAUCCCUCCUCCCCCUCCUGCAGUUCUCCAGCCAUCUUAUUCC